GGUCCCGCAUGGGAAUAUUUGUUAAAGAUUCAUCGCUGAUAGAUAGGCAUGCGUUCCAUUAGGCAGUUGGCGGGGUAACGGCCCACCAAACCGACGAUGGAUAGGGGUUCUGAGAGGAAGGUCCCCCACAUUGGUACUGAGACACGGACCAAACUCCUACGGGAGGCAGCAGUGGGGGAUAUUGCACAAUGGGGGAAACCCUGAUGCAGCGACGCCGCGUGGAGGAAGAAGGUUUUCGGAUUGUAAACUCCUGUCGUUAGGGACGAUAAUGACGGUACCUAACAAGAAAGCACCGGCUAACUACGUGCCAGCAGCCGCGGUAAAACGUAGGGUGCAAGCGUUGUCCGGAAUUACUGGGUGUAAAGGGAGCGCAGGCGGGAAGACAAGUUGGAAGUGAAAACCAUGGGCUCAACCCAUGAAUUGCUUUCAAAACUGUUUUUCUUGAGUAGUGCA
rnacentral:rRNA from 1 species